CAAAAAUAAUUUCGUUGGAAAACGGCAUUUAGGCUUAUUCAAGGAGGUGACUGACCGAAUCUGUUUACCUCGAAAAGAAGUCUAGUGGGUGUUCGCCAAUGCAACUCAUUUGAACUCCCACAAAAAGGCAGCCCUUAGAUCUCUUAUAAGAGAAGCAAAUACACAUUGUAAUACAGUUCAAGCCUAUGAAGAAGAAAUUAGAAACUUAAUGCAGAUAGCAAUAAACCACGGUUACAAAAGGUCGCUUGUUAGAAAGUUAAAAACGGAGAUAGAGAAUAAAAACUAUGGAAGAGGGGCUCAACAAGGAAGCACAAGGACCCCACCAGCUCCACCGCAAGAUAUAACAGUAGAGCAGAGUACGAGCUAUGAACCUAUCCCAACGGAACUCGGAGGUUUGAAGACAGUGAAAAGGAUUCUGAAUAAAAAGAGCAAGAAACCUGCUUUUAAAAGGCCUCCCCACCGUUUAUGACAUUUUACUGAAUCCGAAAGAUCCUAGGAGAAGGGGAGAGAAGAGUGGAAUAUAUGAGAUACCUUUAACUGAUGUGGAUACUGGUACUCAAGGAAUAUAAGUGGGAGCAAUACAAAGGAAUCUUCAAGAUAGAAUAGAGGAACACAAAAGGAACAUCAGAACAGCCAACCUAGGGACAGCUCUUGCAAAAACAGUGUAUGAAAG
rnacentral:lncRNA from 1 species